AAUAAUCUUUCAGAAUUCAACGACCACCUCUACCUUCCUCACCCCUUCUUCAUCGAUCCUCUCUUCUCUCUAUCACAAUCACAAUCACAAUCACAAUCAGAUCUCUCUAAUCUCUCUCUCAAAGCUUCCUUUAUUUUCCGAUGAUGAAUACUAUUCUCAAUAUCAGAGCCUCUCUCUCGCCGGACCCGAAGCUCUUGUUCAGCUACACCACCAACUCCAAUGUCGACCGCUUCGCCUUCAACUUCAAGCCUCACCUCCCGAUACGCCGUCGUUUCCCUCAUCGCCGUCAUCUCCGGCAGCAGUCUAACCCUAAUUUCACUCUCUCCAGCUGCCUGCAGGCCGCCGCGGCCCCAAAUCAUAUCGCCACGGCGGCGGCGCCGAUUCAGGAGGAGGCGUCGGUGCUGCUCGACGUCUCCGGGAUGAUGUGCGGCGGCUGCGUGUCGCGAGUCAAGUCGGUGCUGUCUGCGGACGACCGAGUCCACUCCGUGGCGGUCAACAUGUUGACCGAGACGGCGGCGAUUAAGCUGAGGCCGGAGGUUGAAGGUGGAGCGCAGGCCGUGGCGGAGAGCUUGGCCGGAAGGUUGACGGAGUGCGGAUUUGCGGCGAGGAGGAGGGCUUCCGGGGUGGGAGUGACGGAGAGUGUGAGGAAGUGGAAGGAGAUGGCGAAGAAGAAGGAGGAGAUGCUGGUGAAGAGUAGGAACCGAGUCAUUUUGGCUUGGACUCUGGUGGCCUUGUGCUGUGGAUCACACGCUUCCCACAUUUUGCAUUCUCUGGGAAUUCACAUUGCUCAUGGAUCGUAUAUGGAUGUGCUCCAUAAUUCGUAUGUGAAGGGUGGUUUGGCCAUGGCAGCUUUGUUGGGACCCGGACGAGACUUGCUUUUUGAUGGUUUGAGGGCUUUCAAAAAAGGAUCACCCAAUAUGAAUUCUCUCGUGGGAUUUGGAUCCCUGGCUGCUUUUACAAUUAGUGCGGUCUCUCUUCUUAACCCUGAACUUCAAUGGGAUGCAGCCUUCUUUGAUGAGCCGGUCAUGCUUCUUGGUUUUGUGCUCCUAGGACGUUCUCUUGAAGAAAGGGCAAGGAUCAGGGCAUCUAGUGAUAUGAACGAACUCUUGUCACUGAUAAACACUCAAUCAAGACUUAUAAUUGCAUCCUCAGAAAAUGAUUCCUCCAGUGACACUGUACUUGGCUCCGAUGCAAUUUGCAUUGAGGUCCCAACUGAUGAUGUUCGUGUGGGAGAUUCUGUUUUGGUAUUGCCAGGAGAAACUAUACCCGUGGAUGGAAGAGUUCUGGCUGGAAGAAGUGUUGUGGAUGAGUCCAUGCUCACAGGAGAAUCGCUUCCUGUAUUUAAGGAAAAAGAACUUACCGUCUCAGCUGGAACAAUAAAUUGGGAUGGUCCUCUGAGAAUUGAAGCAACUUCAACUGGCUCCAAUUCAAUGAUUUCCAAGAUUGUUCGCAUGGUUGAGGAUGCUCAAGGCCAUGAAGCACCAAUUCAAAGGCUUGCUGAUUCAAUAGCUGGACCUUUUGUAUACACUAUAAUGACUCUCUCAGCUACAACAUUUGCUUUUUGGUACUACAUUGGAACUCAUAUUUUUCCUGAUGUUUUGCUCAAUGAUAUUGCUGGGCCAGAUGGAGAUUCAUUGCUGUUGAGCUUGAAACUAGCUGUGGAUGUCUUGGUAGUUUCUUGCCCUUGUGCACUGGGUCUUGCAACACCCACAGCAAUCCUAGUUGGCACUUCUCUUGGAGCAAGGCAAGGACUCCUUGUGAGAGGAGCAGAUGUAUUGGAACGCUUGGCCAGUAUAGAUCAUAUUGCUUUAGACAAGACAGGAACCCUCACUGAAGGAAAACCUGCUGUUUCUAGCAUUGCUUCUUUCAAGUAUAAAGACUCGGAAAUUCUUCAAAUAGCUGCUGCUGUAGAGAGUACAGCAUCACAUCCAAUUGCUGAUGCUAUCUUAAACAAAGCCAAAUCAUUGGAGUUGAGUAUCCCAGUCACAAAAAGGCAAUUAACCGAACCGGGUUUUGGAACAUUAGCAGAAGUAGAUGGCCUUUUAGUUGCAGUGGGUUCUUUGGAAUGGGUUCAUGAGCGUUUCCAGAGAAGAACAGAUCGAUCUGACAUUUCAAAACUAGAGCAUGCUGUGCACCAAUCAUCAGAAGGCAUAACACCCUCAAAUUAUUCAAAAACAAUUGUAUAUGUUGGACGUGAAGGGGAAGGUAUCAUCGGUGCUAUUGCAAUAUCCGACAGCCUGCGGGAAGAUGCUGAGUUUACUGUAACUAGACUCCAGCAGAAGGGUAUCAGAACUGUCCUGUUUUCUGGGGACAGGGAAGAGGCAGUUGCAACUAUAGCAAAAUCAGUUGGAAUAGAAAAGGAAUUUAUCAAGUCAUCAUUGACUCCACAGGGAAAAUCUGGAGCCAUUUCUAGUCUUAAAGCUGCAGGGCAUCAUGUUGCAAUGGUUGGUGAUGGCAUAAAUGAUGCACCUUCUUUGGCUCUUGCCGACGUUGGGAUUGCUCUUCAGAUUGAGGGACAAGAAAAUGCUGCUUCAAAUGCUGCGUCGAUUAUACUACUUGGAAACAAAUUAUCACAAGUUGUAGAUGCACUGGAACUUGCACAGGCAACAAUGGGAAAAGUGUAUCAAAAUUUAUCUUGGGCUGUUGCGUACAACGUAAUUGCCAUCCCCAUUGCUGCUGGAGUACUGCUUCCUCAAUACGAUUUUGCCAUGACACCCUCACUUUCUGGUGGGAUGAUGGCCUUGAGCUCGAUAUUUGUAGUAACCAACUCUUUGCUUCUACAGCUUCAUAAGUCUGAAAGUGCUAGGAAGAAUUAGCUCCGGACAAACGUCCCACCACCAGCCGACACUCAUUUAAUUUCUUACUUAAUAGUAGAGCCCCAGACCAGACUGCAAGGGUUUCAAGCCUAUUGGCGGUGUCAAUUUGAAAUCGUUAAGCCUGGUGGUUUAGAAGACGGUGACUUCACGUGUCUUCGUCUAUGGCCGAGUGCGGAGUCAUGCUUGGUGGUCAACAGGGUUCAUUUCUUUGCUUACCAGUGGUGUUCCAGGUCGGAUCUGGUUCGGGUUAUUCAUCUUGUUUUUCAUUGUAGUCUAGAGCUUUGCUAAAAUAGGGUGCUUUUGCCGCCCUCAAUAGUUAACGAGUUUGGUGGGUCUUAACUCUUUAAGGAGUUAGUGGAGGUUCCUCAUUUCCUCCCAAGCUUAUUUACUUGUCGAAGUGCCUCUAUGAGAUUUCGCAACACUAAUAACUAUUUUCGUGCCACAAUUGCUCCUUAGGCGAAUUAGGUUGGUAAUACGAUUUUCUUCCUUCGACUUUCUCGGGGAAAAAUGAUUCUAUGAUAUGAUUGAUAUCCAUCUUCUCUGAUAUAAGACUGAGAAUCUGAGAAAUGGUUCAGCAGCAGGAGGCCAAGUCUGGUAUUGAGAACAAUGGAGAAUGAUAUGUAUGGCCCCCUUGCAAACAUUAUUGUACACAUUUAAUGGGCAUGUGAGAGAGAACUAUUGCAGACGAGGGGAUUUCAUGCUAUAACGCUUUGCAUGUGAUUGGGGGCCCAACAUCCUCCUCCCUUUUCUGGGUUAUAGACCUGGGAGCAGUGUUAAUUUC